rnacentral:rRNA from 1 species
UGCGGAGGGAUCAUUACAGAGUUAUCCAACUCCCAAACCCAUGUGAACUUAUCUCUUUGUUGCCUCGGCGCAAGCUACCCGGGACCUCGCGCCCCGGGCGGCCCGCCGGCGGACAAACCAAAACUCUUGUUAUCUUAGUUGAUUAUCUGAGUGUCUUAUUUAAUAAGUCAAAACUUUCAACAACGGAUCUCUUGGUUCUGGCAUCGAUGAAGAACGCAGCGAAAUGCGAUAAGUAAUGUGAAUUGCAGAAUUCAGUGAAUCAUCGAAUCUUUGAACGCACAUUGCGCCCAUUAGUAUUCUAGUGGGCAUGCCUGUUCGAGCGUCAUUUCAACCCCUAAGCACAGCUUAUUGUUGGGAACCUACGGCUUCGUAGUUCCUCAAAGACAUUGGCGGAGUGGCAGUGGUCCUCUGAGCGUAGUAAUCUUUUAUCUCGCUUCUGUUAGGUGCUGCCCCCCCGGCCGUAAAACCCCCAAUUUUUUCUGGUUGACCUCGGAUCAGGUAGGAAUACCCGCUGAACUUAA